rnacentral:rRNA from 1 species
CCCUUAGAGUUUGAUCCUGGCUCAGGAUGAACGCUAGCUACAGGCUUAACACAUGCAAGUCGAGGGGAAACGACAUCGAAAGCUUGCUUUUGAUGGGCGUCGACCGGCGCACGGGUGAGUAACGCGUAUCCAACCUGCCCACCACUUGGGGAUAACCUUGCGAAAGUAAGACUAAUACCCAAUGACGUCUCUAGAAGACAUCUGAAAGAGAUUAAAGAUUUAUCGGUGAUGGAUGGGGAUGCGUCUGAUUAGCUUGUUGGCGGGGUAACGGCCCACCAAGGCGACGAUCAGUAGGGGUUCUGAGAGGAAGGUCCCCCACAUUGGAACUGAGACACGGUCCAAACUCCUACGGGAGGCAGCAGUGAGGAAUAUUGGUCAAUGGACGAGAGUCUGAACCAGCCAAGUAGCGUGCAGGAUGACGGCCCUAUGGGUUGUAAACUGCUUUUAUAAGGGAAUAAAGUGAGUCUCGUGAGACUUUUUGCAUGUACCUUAUGAAUAAGGACCGGCUAAUUCCGUGCCAGCAGCCGCGGUAAUACGGAAGGUCCGGGCGUUAUCCGGAUUUAUUGGGUUUAAAGGGAGCGUAGGCCGGAGAUUAAGCGUGUUGUGAAAUGUAGACGCUCAACGUCUGCACUGCAGCGCGAACUGGUUUCCUUGAGUACGCACAAAGUGGGCGGAAUUCGUGGUGUAGCGGUGAAAUGCUUAGAUAUCACGAAGAACUCCGAUUGCGAAGGCAGCUCACUGGAGCGCAACUGACGCUGAAGCUCGAAAGUGCGGGUAUCGAACAGGAUUAGAUACCCUGGUAGUCCGCACGGUAAACGAUGGAUGCCCGCUGUUGGUCUGAAUAGGUCAGCGGCCAAGCGAAAGCAUUAAGCAUCCCACCUGGGGAGUACGCCGGCAACGGUGAAACUCAAAGGAAUUGACGG